rnacentral:rRNA from 1 species
CUACGUGCCAGCAGCCGCGGUAAUACGGAAGGUUCGGGCGUUAUCCGGAUUUAUUGGGUUUAAAGGGAGCGUAGGCCGUGGAUUAAGCGUGUUGUGAAAUGUAGAUGCUCAACAUCUGACUUGCAGCGCGAACUGGUUUACUAGAGUGUGCGCAACGUAGGCGGAAUUCGUCGUGUAGCGGUGAAAUGCUUAGAUAUGACGAAGAACUCCGAUUGCGAAGGCAGCUUACGGGAGCACAACUGACGCUGAAGCUCGAAGGUGCGGGUAUCAAACAGGAUUAGAUACCCUGGUAGUCCGCACAGUAAACGAUGGAUGCCCGCUGUUGGUUCAUUAGGGUCAGCGGCCAAGCGAAAGCAUUAAGCAUCCCACCUGGGGAGUACGCCGGCAACGGUGAAACUCAAAGGAAUUGACGGGGGCCCGCACAAGCGGUGGAGCAUGUGGUUUAAUUCGAAGCAACGCGAAGAACCUUACCAGGUCUUGACAUCCCUCUGACCGCUCUAGAGAUAGAGCUUUC